rnacentral:lncRNA from 1 species
AAUUUGGAUCUUAAAUUCAUAAUUUUAGAUCUUUUAAUUUCAAAUCUUAAUUCUCAAUUAAGUACAUUAUGACAUGAGUUUAGUUUAGAUAUCAAAUCAAUUUUUAAUCUAAACUAAUUUAGAUUGCAUCACAUGCAAUUUUGCUGUCAAUAGACUCAAGUCGACUCAUCCUAAAAUUCGGAUUGACUCGUCUGUGAUGAAUAGAA